AGCGUACACGGUGGAUGCCCUGGCAGUCAGAGGCGAUGAAGGACGUGCUAAUCUGCGAUAAGCGUCGGUGAGGUGAUAUGAACCGUUAUAACCGGCGAUUUCCGAAUGGGGAAACCCAGUGUGUUUCGACACACUAUCAUUAACUGAAUCCAUAAGUUAAUGAGGCGAACCGGGGGAACUGAAACAUCUAAGUACCCCGAGGAAAAGAAAUCAACCGAGAUUCCCCCAGUAGCGGCGAGCGAACGGGGAGGAGCCCAGAGCCUGAAUCAGUGUGUGUGUUAGUGGAAGCGUCUGGAAAGGCGCGCGAUACAGGGUGACAGCCCCGUACACAAAAAUGCACAUACUGUGAGCUCGAUGAGUAGGGCGGGACACGUGGUAUCCUGUCUGAAUAUGGGGGGACCAUCCUCCAAGGCUAAAUACUCCUGACUGACCGAUAGUGAACCAGUACCGUGAGGGAAAGGCGAAAAGAACCCCGGCGAGGGGAGUGAAAAAGAACCUGAAACCGUGUACGUACAAGCAGUGGGAGCCUCUUAAUGGGGUGACUGCGUACCUUUUGUAUAAUGGGUCAGCGACUUAUAUUCUGUAGCAAGGUUAACCGAAUAGGGGAGCCGAAGGGAAACCGAGUCUUAACUGGGCGUUAAGUUGCAGGGUAUAGACCCGAAACCCGGUGAUCUAGCCAUGGGCAGGUUGAAGGUUGGGUAACACUAACUGGAGGACCGAACCGACUAAUGUUGAAAAAUUAGCGGAUGACUUGUGGCUGGGGGUGAAAGGCCAAUCAAACCGGGAGAUAGCUGGUUCUCCCCGAAAGCUAUUUAGGUAGCGCCUCGUGAAUUCAUCUCCGGGGGUAGAGCACUGUUUCGGCAAGGGGGUCAUCCCGACUUACCAACCCGAUGCAAACUGCGAAUACCGGAGAAUGUUAUCACGGGAGACACACGGCGGGUGCUAACGUCCGUCGUGAAGAGGGAAACAACCCAGACCGCCAGCUAAGGUCCCAAAGUCAUGGUUAAGUGGGAAACGAUGUGGGAAGGCCCAGACAGCCAGGAUGUUGGCUUAGAAGCAGCCAUCAUUUAAAGAAAGCGUAAUAGCUCACUGGUCGAGUCGGCCUGCGCGGAAGAUGUAACGGGGCUAAACCAUGCACCGAAGCUGCGGCAGCGACACUAUGUGUUGUUGGGUAGGGGAGCGUUCUGUAAGCCUGUGAAGGUGGCCUGUGAGGGUUGCUGGAGGUAUCAGAAGUGCGAAUGCUGACAUAAGUAACGAUAAAGCGGGUGAAAAGCCCGCUCGCCGGAAGACCAAGGGUUCCUGUCCAACGUUAAUCGGGGCAGGGUGAGUCGACCCCUAAGGCGAGGCCGAAAGGCGUAGUCGAUGGGAAACAGGUUAAUAUUCCUGUACUUGGUGUUACUGCGAAGGGGGGACGGAGAAGGCUAUGUUGGCCGGGCGACGGUUGUCCCGGUUUAAGCGUGUAGGCUGGUUUUCCAGGCAAAUCCGGAAAAUCGAGGCUGAGGCGUGAUGACGAGGCACUACGGUGCUGAAGCGACAAAUGCCCUGCUUCCAGGAAAAGCCUCUAAGCAUCAGGUAACAUUAAAUCGUACCCCAAACCGACACAGGUGGUCAGGUAGAGAAUACCAAGGCGCUUGAGAGAACUCGGGUGAAGGAACUAGGCAAAAUGGUGCCGUAACUUCGGGAGAAGGCACGCUGAUAUGUAGGUGAAGCGACUUGCUCGUGGAGCUGAAAUCAGUCGAAGAUACCAGCUGGCUGCAACUGUUUAUUAAAAACACAGCACUGUGCAAACACGAAAGUGGACGUAUACGGUGUGACGCCUGCCCGGUGCCGGAAGGUUAAUUGAUGGGGUUAGCGGCAACGCGAAGCUCUUGAUCGAAGCCCCGGUAAACGGCGGCCGUAACUAUAACGGUCCUAAGGUAGCGAAAUUCCUUGUCGGGUAAGUUCCGACCUGCACGAAUGGCGUAAUGAUGGCCAGGCUGUCUCCACCCGAGACUCAGUGAAAUUGAACUCGCUGUGAAGAUGCAGUGUACCCGCGGCAAGACGGAAAGACCCCGUGAACCUUUACUAUAGCUUGACACUGAACAUUGAGCCUUGAUGUGUAGGAUAGGUGGGAGGCUUUGAAGUGUGGACGCCAGUCUGCAUGGAGCCGACCUUGAAAUACCACCCUUUAAUGUUUGAUGUUCUAACGUUGGCCCCUUACCGGGGUUGCGGACAGUGUCUGGUGGGUAGUUUGACUGGGGCGGUCUCCUCCUAAAGAGUAACGGAGGAGCACGAAGGUUGGCUAAUCCUGGUCGGACAUCAGGAGGUUAGUGCAAUGGCAUAAGCCAGCUUGACUGCGAGCGUGACGGCGCGAGCAGGUGCGAAAGCAGGUCAUAGUGAUCCGGUGGUUCUGAAUGGAAGGGCCAUCGCUCAACGGAUAAAAGGUACUCCGGGGAUAACAGGCUGAUACCGCCCAAGAGUUCAUAUCGACGGCGGUGUUUGGCACCUCGAUGUCGGCUCAUCACAUCCUGGGGCUGAAGUAGGUCCCAAGGGUAUGGCUGUUCGCCAUUUAAAGUGGUACGCGAGCUGGGUUUAGAACGUCGUGAGACAGUUCGGUCCCUAUCUGCCGUGGGCGCUGGAGAACUGAGGGGGGCUGCUCCUAGUACGAGAGGACCGGAGUGGACGCAUCACUGGUGUUCGGGUUGUCAUGCCAAUGGCACUGCCCGGUAGCUAAAUGCGGAAGAGAUAAGUGCUGAAAGCAUCUAAGCACGAAACUUGCCCCGAGAUGAGUUCU
rnacentral:rRNA from 1 species